UUUGAGAUUUCAGCUUGAUUUCCUCUUAAAGAAGAAGGAAGUCUAUGUGGUUCAGUAAACUAAAUCAAAGGUCUGGAACUCAGGAUGUAAUUUCCUUCUUUUGUUAUGGUAACUGUGCCAACAUAGCUGUAUGACAUCAUUUUGAAUUCCAACCCUCCAGUUUCCUUCUAACAUCUUACCUUCCAAAGGAGAAUCCUGCUAUAUUAGGCCACAUGAGGGAUUUAUGAUUCCAGGUUCUACAUUUUUGGAAGGACACUGAAACUCUUGAGAGUUUCAGAAAACAACAAAGAUGGCAAUGGUACUGGAGGCAAUGCUACAUGAAAAUCAGUUGAAAGAAAUGGGAAUAUCUACUGUCAAGAUCUGAAGAGAGAUGUAUUCCUGCCCUUCGGACACUUGAAGCCAACAAUGAUGUCUUCGAAGGAUCAUUCUUAUGAAUGGAUGAUUUGUUUCUGAAUGACUUUGACAAUUGCCUCGACUCCCCAUUUCAUUUGGCUUGGGAAACUAUAGCUAAAAUGCAGAAGAAUAAAGUUGAAAAAUGAAAUCCUCCAACCAAAUAUUCUCUCAGUGAGAUAUUAGCUUCAAAUACAUUUGAUUGUAGUUCCUUUUCUGAUGAAAGAAUUUGAGAGAGGUUUACUAAAAUCCUAAACAUUAAAGGAUUCUUUAUUUCAGUGUGGAAAUUUUUAAACAUUGAAUAAUAACUGCUCACUUUUAAAUCAAAUAAACAAAUUCAGAAUAUUCUACUAGAGUCUCACCUUUGUUUCAGCACCCUUUGGUCAACUAGUCCAACAUCAAGAUUUUCAUUUGUAUGAAAAGGUGACUCCAACUGGUUGCUGCUGAUGGAAUUAAAAAAGUCCUCAUCAGUGCUAGUAAGAAAGAGUUAUAUUCAUAGACAGAAUAACAUAAGUAAUAAUGUUUAGCAGAUUAAGAAAUAGCUACUGAAAGACUGGCUUCAUCCAAGGCCACAUUAGUGGAACUUUAUUUGCUGACUUAUUAUUGUGGCUUGGCUAUCUACCUGCAGAUGGCCAUGAUUGUCUUUCUUAGACAAUUAAUAAAGGCAACUAUCCAGUAUCAUGUUUUUUGUUACCUAACUGAUCAAAAAAAAUCACCACAGCUAUUUCAAUAAUCUGCAUGCCCCCAGAAUAUCAACAGGGUCUUCAAUGUUCAAUAGGUGAAUAAUCACUCACUCACUCAA